UGUUGGUGCUAUAGAUGGAACACAUAUACGAGUCAAAGUAUCUGCAAAAGAUGCCCCUCGAUAUCGUGGUAGGAAAGACUAUCCAACACAAAAUGUUUUAGCAGCGUGUACUUUUGAUUUAAAGUUCACUUAUGUUCUCGCGGGAUGGGAAGGUUCUGCCUCUGACUCGAGAAUAAUAAAGAAUGCACUAACACGAGAAGAUAAACUUAAAAUUCCUCAAGGAAAAUAUUAUCUUGUUGAUGCUGGCUUCAUGCUGACAAGUGGACUUAUUACACCUUAUAGAGGAGUUCGGUAUCACUUGAAAGAAUAUUCGG